AUCCUGCAAGGACAGUGCAGGUCAGGCCCCCUGCCCCUGGUAGCACAUCUGGACCCUCCACCCCAAGCUGCUAAUUUAUCAGGUGGCCACCACGCACCGGGCCCUGCCCAGCCUGCGGACACAGCCUGUUAAUGCCCCCACAGGCAGGCACGAUGACCCCAAGGCCACUCCAUUCCCAUCUGCUUUCAUGUGGGAUCUGCUUCAGGUUUUAUUUGAGGAAUUAUGCUGAAAAUAGGAAAAGCCCAAGCUUAUAACCACGAGGAUAGCUAAGGUUUGCACGUAAGCGUGUCAUGCAGUUUACAGCAACUCAACCUAAGACAGUCAUGGGACCAAGGGAGGUGUGAGUUGUUGAUGAGGCAAGCAAGGCACAGAGAGGGCAAGUCAUUGCCCUGAGACACACAGCCCACCAGACGCAGAGCCGAGGCAAGGGGCUCCAAGACCACCACACACCACACUUAGGUCUCGCAAUGGGCAGGGUCCAGGACAGCCCCAAUGGUCCCACCCCCUCGUACAGCCACCCCCCUUGGAGUGUCCGCAGGACCACUCACUCGCCUCUAGUGAACCGCACACGGGGAGAGCAUGGGAUGUCACUUCCGAGACGGGGUUAUAAAGACUGUGGCUCCAUCCUCGGCGCUCCUCCUCGCUCUGUUUGCUCUGAGGGGAGCCAGCUGCCACUUUGUGAGCUGCCCUGCAGAGGGCCCCUCCUGGCAGAGAAAUGAGGGUGGCCCCCUAUCCACAACCACAGGUGUGAGCUUGGGAACAGCCCCCAGUCAAGCCUUCAGAUGAGACCCUGAGCAGAGGAUCCAGCUCAGCUGUGUCCGAAUUCCUGACCCACAGAAACGAUACUGAAUGCAAAGCCAAGAAGUUUGGUCAAUAGCUUUGAGAGCUAUUAAUGUCAGAGGAGCCUCCCUCAUGGAGGCCCCAUCAUCCUAGCCUCCUGCCUUGGGGCCCUGUUGACCGGCACAGGGAGGAAAGCAGCCAUGAACCUGACCUCCCUGGGGCGCCGAGGAAGGAUGCAGAGAACGGUGAUGCUGACAGUCCCUUGUGCAAGGACCAUUCCUCCCCUUUCUCCCAGGGAGCGGGCUGACACGCAGGGUGCCCAGCUGCUGAGCUGCGGUCCGAGACACAGCCCCACAGUGCCUCCUGGGCAUGAGUCCUACUUCCUGGCCCCUGCAAGCCAGUGGCGAGUGGGACAGGGCUGCACCCCAACCUUGAUUAUUUGACAUCAGCCUCAUAGGGUGGGUCACAUCGGUUUACUUUUCCUUGUCCACGGACUAGAAUGUCAGCCACAAAAGUUCCUUUUAUCUCUGUGUCUCUGGCAUCCAGUUCAGUGCUAGGUGCUCACCCACACUAGGUGCUCAGUGAGUGCUUGCCAACUGACUAAACCCUGGAUGAGCGUGUCCGCUGCUCUGACCAGUACACAUGGGAGCGGACCAGCAGCGCCGAGGGCUUCCGAGCCAGGGCGGGAGGGGCUGCAGGGGCCACCCGAAGCCAGGGACAGCCGCCUUCGUCCGGGGCCAGUGUCGCCCCAGCUGUAAAGCGCCACUGUCACUGUUCGCCUGAAGGUCCCUAGCAGCGCCACUGUCCAAGGGCAGCCCCUACCCGUCAUCUCCCUGUCGGGGCUCGGGGACACGACUGCCGAGUACAGGCCCCUGUUAACUAGCUCUCCGCGCGGCGUGGGCAGCCCCAUCCCGGCUGCCACAUGGAGUCUCCCGAAUCCCACCCGCCUCCCACGGGGAACGCAGGGGACAGGUACAGCCGCUGGCUUCACAACAACGUCAGACAAACGCAAAGGCAGUGAGCGUACAGGGUCAGUUUCCAGGCCCCAAGAGCUGAGCGCGGGGCGCGGGCCGGGUGGGCACCUCCCGAGUGGGUACCAUCGCGGCCCCCAGGGCGAGCGGCUCCGCCUCGGGGUCGGGGACCCGCCACGCGCGUGUGCGCGAGAGAGACUGCGCCGCCGCUCCGUGACUCAGUGUCCCGAUCUGGGGCCGGGCAGGGCAAGGGGUCCGGGUCCUCACCAGUUUCUGGCCAGCUCGCGGUAGCGCGGGCCCAGGAACCUGCUCAGCAUCGCGGCGCCGUCCCAGCUCAGGGUGACCCCAGCCCCGCCGGUCCGGGCGCACUGCGCAAGCGCGGACACCGCAGCGCGCAGGCCCGCAGGGAGGCCCCGCCCGGGAGGGCUGACCGCGCGAGACUCGGAGUCCGCGUCGCUGCGUGCGCAGACUCGGAAGACAUUUGGAGUCGCUUCCGGGGGAGCCCGGAAGUCGUGAAUGAACGCAGGCCAGAGUGGGCGUGUCCGGGAGGUGGGGCUUACCGGCCACGUGACUCGAGGACGCUGACUCCACCUCUCAGCUCCUGCAGCCGGAGGGGCCCCCUAGCUGUGCAACCUCUAGCUGCUGUUUCUGGCCCGCAACAUUUGUUUGAACUGGAACCUCCCUAAGACCCAACCCUGAUCACACAAGGCCUGGGGUCCUCAGAGGUGGGGCCCUGGGUUAACUGCCUGCCCCAGCUGCCCCAGACCAGCGAGACGGCAAAGGCUUUCUACAGUCAGUGUCACCUCUGAUUGGCUGGUGCUGCCUGGCCCAGCACUGGAGCAAGGAGUGGGUAUGACUGCUGAGUGACUGAAGGCAAAAGUGGGCUCGGGGGGGCUCAGCUUUGAUGUUGCAGGAAAUUGAGGGGGAGGUGGUCAGGCGAGGAAAAUACGGGGUUGAUGACAUCAUGAGUUGAGACUGAAGAGUGCCUGUGCCUCCUGGUGGGGGCAUGUGGACCUGGGGCGACGCAAGCGGGGCGGGCUGCAUCAGCCUCGCGGUUCCUGCCGGGCCCAGCGCAGGAGCCAGGCAGGGAGGGUGGCAGCCAGGCUGGGGAAUCCAGCAAAUUGCCUUUUCUUCCAACGUGAUUAAGUUGAGGGAGCAGGGCGCUGGGAGCCGCUGGUGGCUCGGCACCAUCUGCUGGGCCUGGCACCCUGCCAACCAGCAGGCAGCGGGGUGAGGACACAGUGCAGCUCUGAGCAGGGCAGCUGGGGGGACGGCAGGGUGGGAACUGUCUGGACUAGCCCCUGGGACGUCUUGCCUGCUCCCUGUCCUAGGACCCCUGAUCACACCACUUUCUCUUAAAGUAGGAAGGAUCCAGGCUAGACCUCAGAGGAACUUCCCGACUCCCGCAGAGGCUGUCUCUGGUCUGAGGUGGGACUCCCGGGGGGUCACGCGUACCCACAGCAGCUCACAGCCCAGUACCCCACUGACACAUGGCAUGGCCUCUGGCAGGGGCCCUGCCUGUCCCAGGACUCACCGAGGACGGGAGGCCCGGCGGCACCUUCCGGACUUUCUUGGGCUGAGCGUCUGUCAGGAGCAAGAGGAGGCAGGGAAGGAUGAGGGGGCCCUUCCUGCCUGGGAUGCGCCGUCACUGGAUGGGGCAGACGGUCCCCAGCCUGCGCCUCCGAGGAGAGCCCCGAGCUACUGAAACACACGGAGGAAGAAACACUGCUGCCGUCAGGCCGAAGCUGAGCCCCGUCCCCAGCGCCGCUUGUAGUAAGCGCGCCUCCAGCAUCGGUGGGAUCUGCUCGUCUUACUUGGCUCUUAUCUUUUUCUUUCUUUUAAGGUAAACAGUUGAAUCUUGCAAAUGUUAAGUCUGAAUAAAACCCUCUCCCCUCAA